rnacentral:rRNA from 1 species
GGAAUAUUGGACAAUGGCCGAGAGGCUGAUCCAGCCAUGCCGCGUGCGGGAAGACGGCCCUAUGGGUUGUAAACCGCUUUUGUUGGGGAGCAAUAAGGUCCACGUGUGGAUCGAUGAGAGUACCCAGCGAAUAAGCAUCGGCUAACUCCGUGCCAGCAGCCGCGGUAAUACGGAGGAUGCAAGCGUUAUCCGGAUUUAUUGGGUUUAAAGGGUGCGUAGGCGGAUGCCUAAGCGUGAGGUGAAAUCCCCGGGCUCAACCUGGGAACUGCCUCGCGAACUGGGUAUCUGGAAUGCUCCUGCCGUGGGAGGAAUGUGUGGUGUAGCGGUGAAAUGCAUAGAGAUCACACAGAACACCGAUUGCGAAGGCAUCUCACGAAGGGGUGAUUGACGCUGAGGCACGAAAGCGUGGGGAUCAAACA